GGGCCGAGCUGCCUGGCAGCUUGGGUUGAACCAGUCAAGCAGGGACCCCGGCUGGCCCGUGGCGUGCACACUUAGGGGCUCCUAUACCGAGUCUUCGCGAUGGGCUGGACUUGCUUUGCUUUCUGCUAACCGCACCGUAGGGAUCCGUCCGACCCGUCCCAGUGUCUUUGCUCCUGAUGUCUCAGAACAGCUCUGAACAUCCUGUCCCCAGGAACAGUGAACAAUUGCUUGACUCCAAACCUGGAGGAUAAGAAGGGAGGCUGUUUAAUGAUAGUUGAACCUGGGGUGAGAAGAGCUGCUUCCAAACAUAGCACCGAGAAGCCCCCUGUGGGGUGUCCCUUUGCUCCGAACGCCUCUGCAUCCGCGAAGACCAGUCUAUUCUUGAUGCCUCUGAAAAUCUGUCAGGCCUGUCCUCCCUUUGAGGGGAACCGUCUGAUCUCCAAACACUGGCUUUCAAGCUCUUCUCUUUUUCUGUCUUUGCGACCUACCCCAGCUUCUUGAUUCCUUUUCUUUUUCCUUUUUAAGAAACUUACAAGCUGGGUGCCUUGGUACAUGGUGUGCAAAGCCUUCAUAAACUCGUGGACGCAGAAUUGAAAAAAAACAAAAGCUGCAGAUCAGAAGCUGUGAGGCCACCAGGGAAAACUGUGGUAAUGGAUGGAACCUCAUCCCACAUCCAGAGUGGGCUAGAUCACAUCAGUGUCUCCAGCUGACUCAUCACCCUGCUGAUUAAUUCUGAGCCAGUGGAGAAAAGCCAGUCCAAGAAUGAAGCCUAUGCACUGGAGACGUUCCACCGGAAAGAAGCACAGAGAAAUGAAGUCAGACCCCUGAGCAAACUGUACCUGAAGCUUAUACCACCUCUGGACUACACAGUUAGUUGACUUACUUUCUCAGGAUAAAUCACUCAGUGGUUUGUCAGUUCGUGAAACUCAUGUGUUGCUGGCAUUUUACUCUUUCCCUCUGUUCUUCAAAACCUCCAAGCGCGAACCUUGACACUUACAUUUUAUAAAUAGCAUAGAAGAAAACACUGCUUAAGCCUAAGAUCAAACAUGGAAUUCAAACGUGAUAGGAAGGAUGGUAUCGCCUGUGAAACUCGUGGCAAAGAAUUUCUCCUUGGAGCGUCCCUAAACCCUCCUGUCAGCCCCUGAAACUGGACCUGUGCUAUCAGUUUUUUACUCGCUGCAAGAUCGGUUGACAGAUCAGCCACCUUUUAUACCAUGAUCUCCCUUCCCCAAGGGAAUGACUGAGGCUAUACUUUGGAAAUGGGAUACAGGACUUCAUAGUAUUGGUCAGGAGGAGUUUUACAAUGGAGGAAAAAAGAAGAACAAUUUUUAAAGGGACAAAACACAGGCAUUUUUGUUGGAAGCCAAGGAUUGGGUCUGUAUUUGCGUCCUGUUCUCUUGGUAGCAACUCUUUGAGUGGCUGGCUCAUAAUAGAUGCUCAAUAAAAGUGUGUUGCAUGAAUGCAAGAGAAAAAAUGAAAGCUACCCAGGAGACGUCGAUAUCCUGGACAUCACCAAGACACAAAGUCCUCUGGUCAGCCCCUGGGGCGGUGUGUUGCACCACUGGCCAGGUGGGAGCACAGUGUAGCUAAUACUUUGGAAUUUCUACUUGGCCUCUGCUGCCUUGAUUGCUGCCCCUUAAAGCUACCUGGUCAAAUGCGACUGUCAGGUCAAAACCUGAGCCGGUCUUGAUCUGGUGCACUGCUCAGCUCUCCUUCUCCAAAUGCUCUGUUACCCUGGUCGACAAUAGUUCAGUCCACCAUCACCUGUGGUCUCCCUCAAACAAGGGUGUAAGCAUACUUAUCCUCAGAAAGUAUCUCUUGUUUCUCUAAAAUUCUAAUUUAACAGAGUGUCCUGUAUUUUCAUUUGCUUAAUCUGGAGACCCCAUCUCCAGCCACCAUGUGAAUGCCUCUCAAUAGAGGUUCUAGUUUUCUGUCUUGGUUGAGACGAAGAAUGAGUCUCACAGUUGGAAUCUGGCCAUCCCUUGGCUAGCAGUGCUGGGCAAAAGGAGCAUGCAGCCCUGGACAUUGAGUCGGGGCUGAACGGUCUCAGGACAACCACUGAGACAUUUUCGGAAAAGCAAAGCCACCUGUCAACCCGGAGAAAAGGCAGACAAGCCGGAAAUUACAGGUGGGCUGAGGGAGGGUGAGCCUUCCGUAUAAAGUAUUCAGUUUGUACUCUACUUGGUUUAUUUGUAAGUUACACAGAAAGAGGGUGGAGAAGGACAAGGGACAAUGUUGUGAAUGUCGUCUCAGAGCGGCAGGAAGACAUAAAUGGCACUUCGUGGUAAUAAGACAGGAAAACAAGAAAACCUCUUUUUUGCUCCUUUUCCUGCUUCUAGUGUGUGUGUGUGUGUGUGUGU